UUAGCCUACGGGGCGCAGCAGUGGGGAAUAUUGCACAAUGGGGGGAACCCUGAUGCAGCGACGCCGCGUGGGUGAAGGAGUACUUCGGUACGUAAAGCCCUAUCAGCAGUGAAUUGACGGUACCUGCAAAGGAAGCACCGGCUAACUCCGUGCCAGCAGCCGCGGUAAUACGGAGGGUGCGAGCGUUAAUCGGAAUUACUGGGCGUAAAGCGCUCGUAGGCGGUAUGUCAAGUCAAGGGUGAAAUCCCCGCGCUCAACGUGGGAACUGCCUUUGAAACUGGCAAACUGGAGUGUGUGAGCGGAUA
rnacentral:rRNA from 1 species